AGAAGAAGAAGAAGAAGUAGAAGAAGAAGUAGUAGAAGAAGAAGAAGAAAGAAGAAGAAGAAGAAGAAAGAAGAAGAAGAAAGAAGAAGAAGAAGAAGAAGAAGAAGAAGAAAAGAAGAAGAAGAAAAGAAGAAGAAGAAGAAAGAAGAAAGAAGAAGAAGAAGAAGAAGAAGAAGAAGAAGAAAAGAAGAAGAAGAAAAGAAGAAGAAGAAGAAAGAAGAAAGAAGAAGAAGAAGAAGAAGAAGAAGAAGAAGAAGAAGAAGAAGAAAGAAGAAGAAGAAGAAGAAGAAGAAGAAGAAGAAGAAGAAGAAGAAGAAGAAGGAGAAGGAGAAGGAGAAGGAGAAGGAGAAGGAGAAGGAGAAGGAGAGAGAAGGAGAAGAAGGAGAAGGAGAAGGAGGAGGAUGGGGGGUCGGGGCCCUGCGAGGAGCCAGGCUAAGGCCGGGAGGGCCCGGGAGAAGCGGGAACUUGAACGAUCCCAGGAGUCUUCCCGCCGGGAGGGCGCUCACAGGGAGCUCGGGCAGGACCGCAGGAGGGCAGCGGAGCCCCCAGGUUCCCGGGGCCACUAGCAGGAGGGCGCCCGGGGGAGAGCGGGCAGAGCUAGGGGAAGGGCUGGAGCCGCGCCGGGGGGCCUCGGGGAGGAGCCGGGGGGCGGGCGGGGGCUCCGGGCGGAGGGGGCUGCACCUGCUGCCUUCGGGAGCCGCGGCCCGGGGAGCGCGAUUCCAGCGGCGCAGGCCCCGGAGCCCAGGGCGCGGGGGAAACAGCCCGGGACCCUGCCUCCCCCGGGACAGGCGGGGGCAGGGAGGGCCCAGGACAGACGCUCCUGUCCCGGGGCCCCCGAGCUGUGCAGGUCAGCGCCCUCCGCCCCCGGAGCAUCCAGGCCCCUGCGGACUGGUUGCUGUGAUGGUUACUGGGGAGCUGACUCCAGGGCUGGGGAGCUGGCUGCCGCCAGUGGUGGUGUCCCUCCUGGUGUCACCCUGUGCCUGGGAGGGAAGGGGCGCCAGGGAACAGGAGCCUCGGGGUACACAGCUCUGA
rnacentral:lncRNA from 1 species